AGAACGAACGCUGGCGGCAUGCCUAACACAUGCAAGUCGAACGAGACCUUCGGGUCUAGUGGCGCACGGGUGCGUAACGCGUGGGAAUCCGCCCUUGGGUACGGAAUAACAGUUAGAAAUGACUGCUAAUACCGUAUAAUGACUUCGGUCCAAAGAUUUAUCGCCCAGGGAUGAGCCCGCGUAGGAUUAGCUUGUUGGUGAGGUAAAGGCUCACCAAGGCGACGAUCCUUAGCUGGUCUGAGAGGAUGAUCAGCCACACUGGGACUGAGACACGGCCCAGACUCCUACGGGAGGCAGCAGUGGGGAAUAUUGGACAAUGGGCGAAAGCCUGAUCCAGCAAUGCGCGUGAGUGAUGAAGGGCCUUAAGGGUUGUAAAGCUCGUUUACCCGGGAUGAUAAUAGACAGUAACCGGAAGAAAGAAGCUCCGGCCUAAACGUCCGCGCCGACGCAGCCCGA
rnacentral:rRNA from 1 species